rnacentral:rRNA from 1 species
UACGAAGGGGGCUAGCGUUGUUCGGAUUUACUGGGCGUAAAGCGCACGUAGGCGGAUCUUUAAGUCAGAGGUGAAAUCCCAAGGCUCAACCUUGGAACUGCCUUUGAUACUGGGGAUCUCGAGUCCGGGAGAGGUGAGUGGAACUGCGAGUGUAGAGGUGAAAUUCGUAGAUAUUCGCAAGAACACCAGUGGCGAAGGCGGCUCACUGGCCCGGGAACUGACGCUGAGGUGCGAAAGCGUGGGGAGCAAACAGG